rnacentral:rRNA from 1 species
CAGUCGCCACGGUAAUACGAGGGGGGCAAGCGUUGUUCGGAAUUAUUGGGCGUAAAGGGCGCGUAGGCGGUUUGGCAAGUUUGGUGUGAAAUCUUCGGGCUCAACUCGAAGUCUGCACCGAAAACUGCCGGGCUUGAGUAUGGGAGAGGUGAGUGGAAUUUCCGGUGUAGCGGUGAAAUGCGUAGAUAUCGGAAGGAACACCUGUGGCGAAAGCGGCUCACUGGACCAUUACUGACGCUGAGGCGCGAAAGCUAGGGGAGCAAACAGGAUUAGAUACCCGGGUAGUCCCUGUCUCUUAUAC